rnacentral:tRNA from 1 species
GCCGAUAUAGCUCAGAAGGUAGAGCAGCGCAUUCGUAAUGCGAAGGUCGGGGGUUCGAUUCCUCUUGUCGGCA